CCUACGGGUGGCAGCAGUGAGGAAUAUUGGUCAAUGGCCGAGAGGCUGAACCAGCCAAGUCGCGUGAGGGAAGACGGCCCUACGGGUUGUAAACCUCUUUUGUCGGGGAGUAAAGCGAGUCACGUGUGCCUCUUUGAGUGUACCCUAUGAAUAAGCAUCGGCUAACUCCGUGCCAGCAGCCGCGGUAAUACGGAGGAUACGAGCGUUAUCCGGAUUUAUUGGGUUUAAAGGGUGCGGAGGUGGGGGGUGAAGUCAGGUGUCAAAUUUUGUGGCUCAACCCCAAACUUGAGUUUGAUACUGGAAGGAUUGAGUACAGGGGAGGAAGGCGGAAUUCGUGGUGUAGCGGUGAAAUGAGUAGAUAUCACGAAGAAGUACGAUUGCGAAGGCAGCUUACUAAACUGCAACUGACAUUGAUGCUCGAAAGGGUGGGUAGCAAACAGGAUUAGAUACCAAAGUAGUC
rnacentral:rRNA from 1 species